AAAUAGAGGGAUAGCUUCUCUUGAGAAGAAUCUUCCUUAUCAUUUCUAAGCUGGGAACCAUGGUAGAUAGGAUGGAGAACUUUAGAUCAGUGACUAGGAACUUUGAACCUGCACCCUGAUGAGAUCUGGAACAUCUGGGAAUACUGCUAAAGACAAUCACAGGUAUAAUGAAGACGCAAAUGGGAUCCCAGACUUUGAACUCAGUCAGACGCAGGUUCAGAUCCUGAUUUUGCUUCUAAUGUAAAAACCUGCAAAUUGUA